rnacentral:rRNA from 1 species
AUCCCGAAAGGGGUGCUAAUACCGAAUGUUGUAACGACUUACGCAUGAAGUUGCUACUAAAGGUGGCCUCUGAAUAUGCUACCGCUAGAAGAUGGGCCUGCGUCUGAUUAGCGUAGUUGGAGGGGUAACGGCCCACCAAGGCUUCGAUCAGUAGCCGGUCUGAGAGGAUGAACGGCCACACUGGGACUGAGACACGGCCCAAACUCCUACGGGAGGCAGCAGUGGGGAAUCUUCCGCAAUGGACGAAAAGUCUGACGGAGCAACGCCGCGUGAGUGAAGAAGGUUUUCGGAUCGUAAAGCUCUUUCGUUAGGGACGAACGUGCUCUUUGUGAAUAAUGAGGAGUAAUGACGGUACCUAAAUAAGAAGCCACGGCCUAACUACGUGCCAGCCGCAGC